rnacentral:rRNA from 1 species
GACGAACGCUGGCGGCGUGCUUAACACAUGCAAGUCGAACGGAAAGGCCCUGCGUUUGUGGGGUGCUCGAUUGGCGAACGGGUGAGUAACACGUGAGUAACCUGCCCUUGACUUUGGGAUAACUUCAGGAAACUCGGGCUAAUACCGGAUAGGAGCUCCUGCUGCAUGGUGGGGGUUGGAAAGUUUCGGCGGUUGGGGAUGGACUCGCGGCUUAUCAGCUUGUUGGUGGGGUAGUGGCUUACCACGGGUUUGACGGGUAGCCGGCCUGAGAGGGUGAACGGGGACAUGGGGACUGAGAUAGGGCGCAGAAUGCUAUGGGCGGCAGCGGUGGGGAGUAUUGCGGAGUGGGGGGGAGCGUGAUGUAGAAACGUUGCGAGCGGGAUGACGGGUUUUUAGUUGUAAACAGAUGUCGAAGGUGACGAGGAGUGAGUGACGGUAAUGGGUAAGGAAGCAACGGCUAACUACGUG